GGUGUGUUGUGAUUGUCCCCGCUUGCAGAUAGGGCGAGAUCGCGAACAUCAGGUCUCCCCAGUAUGAAAAUGUGAUGCAAGGGAUUUUGCCAUCGACAGCCAUCAAUACCGUUAAGCCCUGCACAACUAACGUGCUGUUUCCCAUUUAACAACAGAAAUAAAUGCUCAACUGGGACCACUGGCCGAAGUGAUUUAUUUUGAGAAAACACAACUCAUGGAGAGUACAUUAUACAUCUGUUACAGACGCACGGCUCUUGACCUUCCUACGGGAGUUGCAGCGAUGGGACUAACUACCAAUUGGAUACCACAAAAUUGGGGAGAAAAAGGGCAACAACAAAAAAGAUAUAAUAAAAAAAUAACAACAAUCUAAAUGUUAUUUAUUUUCUAAAGUUAAUUAAUUGUUUCUGUAUUAUAAUGAUUGGACUAUCGAGAGAUUACCUACCUGUUAUAAUCAUGAAGAUGUGACUAGGACGAUAAUUAAAAUGACCUUGAACUGUGAAUCCUAGAAAAGUAUGAGUUGUUAAUAAAGCGCAUUAAACGAGAA